rnacentral:rRNA from 1 species
GACGAACGCUGGCUGCGUGCUUAACACAUGCAAGUCGAACGCUGAAACCCUGGUGCUUGCACCGGGGUGGAUGAGUGGCGAACGGGUGAGUAACACGUGAGUAACCUGCCCCCGACUUCGGGAUAAGCCCGGGAAACUGGGUCUAAUACCGGAUAUGAGCGCCCCUCGCAUGAGGGAUGCUGGAAAGUCUUUUCGGUUGGGGAUGGGCUCGCGGCCUAUCAGUUUGUUGGUGAGGUGAUGGCUCACCAAGACGACGACGGGUAGCCGGCCUGAGAGGGCGACCGGCCACACUGGGACUGAGACACGGCCCAGACUCCUACGGGAGGCAGCAGUGGGGAAUAUUGCACAACGGGGGAAACCCUGAUGCAGCGACGCAGCGUGCGGGAUGACGGCCUUCGGGUUGUAAACCGCUUUCAGCAGGGAAGAAGCCCCUUGGGGUGACGGUACCUGCAGAAGAAGUACCGGCUAACUACGUGCCAGCCGCCGCGGUAA